rnacentral:misc_RNA from 1 species
AAAAAAAAACCCAAAGCUUUCUCUCUCUCCCUUUUUUGUCAAUGGUGGAGUGUGACUGUGACAAGCUUCUGUCUGUCUCAAAAUCCUUCUUCACUGAUUAAUAAUAUAAUCAUUUUAAUUAACUAAAAUUACUCUCUCUUUCAUUUCCUAUAAAGCCACUUCUCUCUCUCUCUUCUUCAUUCCACUUCUUCACUAAUUUAUUCCAAUUUCUUAAUGGAUUCGGAGGAUGAGUUCGAUAUGCAGGACGCAGCCGCUGAAUCCGCUGAUGAUGAUUUCUACAGCGGAGGGGAUGAUGCUUUUGAAAGCGAUGACGCUGAUGUCGCUGAUUUCGAGUUCAUCGACAACGAUUCCGAUGAUUCCGAUGAUCUCAUCUCCCAUCGUCACCAGGUUCCUUUUCUUCUAUUUUGCCUUUUUAUUUUUCAACUUCAUUUUCUUUUCCUUUUAUGCUUCUUAAUAUGGCUAACACGUUAUGAGCUAUUUGUUCUUUUAACGUUUGUUUGCGAGAUUAAUGACAUUUUGAAGCUUGAUUAUACAUCAUUUGUUCCUCUUUUGGGCACAAUUGUUUGUUCAUGUUAAUUAGGUCGAUGGGCUCCCCUUUUUUCACAUGGUUGUAUUUGUAUAUAUGCUUGUUAGGGUAUGAAAAAUGCUCCAUUUAAGCUCCUGCAAUAAUGAAGCUUUCGUUUGAAAAUUUUAGCCUUUUUAGUUUGUUGGAUAGAUGUAGAGAGAAAUUUGAGCUUCUAUUUGGUCUAUUUGUGCUGAUUAAGUUGGGUAUGCUAUUUGGUCUAGGAGGAUGAUCAUUUGUUCUCACUUGUAUUUUCUUUUUCUUUUUUUAGCAAAACUAUACCAUUUUGAGUGAAGCAGAUAUUUGUCAACGUCAAGACGAUGAUAUUAUGAGGAUAUCUACUGUACUUUCCAUUUCAAAGGUUUCAGCUAGCAUCUUGCUCCGCUAUUACAAAUGGAGUGUCAGUAAAGUGAAUGAUGAAUGGUUUGCAGAUGAAGAAAAGGUUCGCAGGGUUGUUGGCUUAUUGGAGAAACCAGUUGUUGAAUUUCCAGAUGGUAGAGAAGUGACAUGCGGAAUUUGUUUUGAAAUCUAUCCUUCUGAUAGGUUGCAUGCUUCUGCUUGCGGUCAUCCAUUUUGUAGUUCAUGCUGGCAAGGCUACAUAAGCACAGCUAUUAAUGAUGGUCCUGGAUGUUUAAUGUUGCGAUGUCCUGAUCCAUCUUGCGGUGCUGCUGUUGGUCAAGAUAUGAUUAAUGAAUUGACUUCUGAUGAAGACAAGGAAAAGUAUUCCCGUUAUUUCAUUAGAUCUUAUAUUGAGGAUAAUAGAAAGGUAAUUUUGCAUUUUUGCAAAUUAAAUAGAUCAUCCAUGCUUUGAGUUCAAAAUGAAUAAAAUUGUAUGUAUUGUUAUAAAGUUUCAUUGUGAAGAGAGCAAUAUUCGUGUAUCAAACAAUUCUAUUAGUGAUUUAUGGUGUGAACUGUGAACUCUGCAUAAAAAUAGACAUCAACUUCAGAAUUAGCAUUCACAACACUCCCUUACUCUAUUUAUGCCAUCUUUCUUUUCGAAUGGAGUCAUAACCUUUUUGAACUAAUGUUAGAACUUGCGUUUUUGUUAUUAGUAUUUUGGGUGUAAUUGAUUCAAAAUUUCAAUAUGUUUGCCAUCUUUGUACGCUGGCUUUCUUUGUGUGGUUGGCUUUCAAUUCGUAAAGUGCAUGACUUUACGAAUUGAAAUGUGAUUUUGAUAAAAUUGGUCCUAAAUCAACUUCUUCAUCAAUUCAAUGUAGUGAUGCAGAACAGAAGGCAGUCCUAGUUCAGUAUUGAGAAAAAAAAUUAGUUUAGGGAACUAGUGUUAGUUCAAGUUGGUAUGUUUGCAAUGGCUUGAAAGUCUCAGUUAGGGCAUAAAUCAAAUUCAGACCUUUAUACCUAAUUUUCCCAGUUCUUUUAACUUUCUUUUUCUUGAAUUUUUCAUUUUUUCUAUGUCAUUCAGAAUGGCCCCUUGUUUUCUUCACUAUAUUUGUUCAGCUGUUAGUCAUUUGCUUCUAGCGAUUUAUGACAAUAUCAUACUGGAAAGACUUGUCCUCAUUUUUUGUUGUAUUCACCUUUCUUGUUUGUUGUUUUUGUGUUAUUUGGUAGACCAAAUGGUGCCCUGCUCCGGGAUGUGAUUAUGCUGUGGAUUUUAUUGUAGGCAGUGGAAGCUAUGAUGUUUCUUGCCACUGCUCAUAUAGCUUCUGCUGGAAUUGUACUGAAGAAGCCCAUCGUCCUGUUGAUUGUGGAACUGUGGCUAAGUGGAUAUUGAAGAACAGUGCUGAGUCUGAAAAUAUGAACUGGAUAUUGGCUAAUUCCAAACCUUGUCCAAAGUGCAAGCGGCCAAUUGAGAAAAACCAAGGCUGUAUGCAUAUUACAUGCACACCGCCUUGUAAAUUUGAGUUUUGCUGGCUUUGCCUUGGUGCAUGGUCUGAUCAUGGAGAGAGGACUGGUGGCUUUUAUGCAUGUAAUCGUUAUGAGACAGCAAAGCAAGAGGGAGUGUAUGAUGAUUCUGAGAAGCGAAGAGAAAUGGCCAAAAACUCUCUGGAGAGAUAUACACAUUAUUAUGAACGAUGGGCAACCAACCAAGCUUCUAGGCAAAAGGCACUGGCAGACCUACAGCAAAUGCAAACUGUGCAUCUUGAGAAACUUAGUGACAUACAUUGCACCCCUGAAUCUCAGCUCAAGUUCAUUACAGAUGCAUGGCUUCAGGUAGUUGAAUGCAGGCGAGUUCUAAAAUGGACCUAUGCAUAUGGAUAUUAUCUACCUGAGCAUGAACUUGCUAAGAGACAGUUUUUUGAGUACUUGCAAGGUGAGGCUGAGUCUGGCUUGGAAAGGCUUCAUCAAUGCGCAGAGAAGGAACUACAACAGUUCCUCAAUGCGGAAGGUCCCUCAAAGGAAUUUGAUGAGUUUCGAACAAAGUUGGCUGGGCUCACCAGUGUUACAAAAAAUUACUUCGAGAAUUUGGUUAGAGCAUUGGAGAAUGGUCUAGCAGAUGUGGAUUCUCAUGGUGCUUGUAGCAAAACAACUAGCUCCAAAAAUACAGUUGGUGUUGGCAAGGGGAGAGGUGGAAGAGGAAAAGGAAGCACUAAAUCUGGUGAUUCCAUCAGAAUUAUGGAUGAUUAAUAUAACUAUUCCAGGUCCAAGUUAGCCAGCAAUGUGCCAGGUAUGCUGCCACAACGGUUAGAACUUGUAAAUCCUUUGGUUGGUGGGAGCUACUUGGUACACAUGCUUCUCCAAGAUUCUGGAGGACUUAAUUGUGUUUAUUGUCUGGUGGCUCAUCUUUUUGUGAUGCUGCUCAAUGUGUGAAUGGUAAUUAAAAGUCAAAGAAGGAUUGGGAAAAAAAAAGGCUGUCUCUUUCUAAAGCAUUGUGUUUAGAGGGAAGCACCAGUCGUGGUGUAAUGUAUAUAUUUCUAUCUAUCAAGGUAUUGAGGUUCUGCAACUUGCUUUUCGUUACUUAUAAUAAUACUAGUUCUGUCUGUGAAUGCUAAUAUACUCAUUUGUGAAAAGAAAACUGUGGCUUCAUUGGACUGCUUAAUGAACAUUGUUUUCCUCUUCGUAUCUUUUCAGUGAAUUGAAUCCUAUCUAAAGAUCUGUAAAUAGGGUUUAAUGCUAAUGUCUUUGUAUUAUGGAAUUGUAGAUAUUAAUAGCUUUUUAAUAUCUUUCAUUGUAUGUUGUGCACUUGGAUUUGUGUUGUUCAUUUGGACAAUCAUAUCCUCAAUAUCAAAAUCUUGUUUCUUGAAUAUUUC